GAUGAACGCUGGCGGCGUGCCUAAUACAUGCAAGUCGAGCGAACAGACGAGGAGCUUGCUCCUCUGACGUUAGCGGCGGACGGGUGAGUAACACGUGGAUAACCUACCUAUAAGACUGGGAUAACUUCGGGAAACCGGAGCUAAUACCGGAUAAUAUAUUGAACCGCAUGGUUCAAUAGUGAAAGACGGUUUUGCUGUCACUUCUAGCUGGAUCCGCGCCGCAUUAGCUAGUUGGUAAGGUAACGGCUUACCAAGGCAACGAUGCGUAGCCGACCUGAGAGGGUGAUCGGCCACACUGGAACUGAGACACGGUCCAGACUCCUACGGGAGGCAGCAGUAGGGAAUCUUCCGCAAUGGGCGAAAGCCUGACGGAGCAACGCCGCGUGAGUGAUGAAGGUCUUCGGAUCGUAAAACUCUGUUAUUAGGGAAGAACAAAUGUGUAAGUAACUAUGCACGUCUUGACGGUACCUAAUCAGAAAGCCACGGCUAACUACGUG
rnacentral:rRNA from 1 species